GCUGUGAUGACAAUGGACUGAACCUCUGAAACUUGUGUCCGGUACAACGUUUUGUCAUGGAACAGAAGAACCUGGAAUCUUUCGAGUCAUGGGUCCUCACCCCACCCCCAGUCUGCCUAAAGCACCAUAGCUUUAAUCAGGACUUCAGUCUUUCUGUGUUGAGACAGGAGCGGGCGAUUGGGAGUUAUCCAAUGUCCAGCAGGGUAGAUGGACUCGCAGCACUCUGGAGGCAGAGGCAGGUGGAACCCUGUUCAUUGAGGCCAGCCUGGUUUGCACAACAAGGUCCAGGCCAGAUAAAGACCCGGUUGGGUCAUGAAGGCAUAUUCUUGCCUGUAUCCCCAGCUGAUGAAUCCAGCUCUCCUAGCUCCUAUUAAUCCCUCUUUCUACACCAAGGGACUAGCAAGCGGAGAAGAGUCCAGCAGAGAGAAAAAGAAAAAGUCAUUUCUAUCCAAGUCUCAAGAGCUGCGAUUGGCUUAGCUAGUCCUGGGGUGAUUUGUGAAAUGAAAGGAAACCUGACUCCAAGAACUGCUGCCAGGAGAAGCCUUGGGGAUGGAGGCCAAGCACUCAAACAAGAGGUUGAGGUUGAGCAAUAGAUGGCAGAACUCCAGGCUCCGGAAGGGGCCAGAUGCACCUGCCUAGGCACUGAAGCAUGACGGGACUCGGGAAGGCCCCACCUAACCAGAGAGGAGUGGGAGGAAGGCAAAGCAAGUGGCCUGACUGGAGAAGUUGGCCAUGAUCUAAUCCCCUCCUGACUUGGUCACAGCAGUUCUUCCUGCGUCAGAACCUCAAGAACAAGGUUCGUGGUCCUGCUCCUACACGCACGCCUCCCAUUUGUUUUCCAACAUAAACAAUCGAGAAGCUGAAAGGCAGAAAUCUUCGCCCCUUCUUCUCCAUGGCUGACAAUGAGCCCGUGCAGGUUUUCAGGACAUCACCUCCCUGAUUCUGAGCCGUGCAGAAUGACAGACACGCAUGAGAGACUGGAGUGCUCUGUCACUAAGAGGAUCAACGGCCGCUGGCCCGGCCUAGGUCAAAAAUAAAAAGUAAACCAACAGGGUCUCACGGUGCCAUGGUUCAGACUCACCUCAGACUUACGAAUCUCCCGCCUCAGCUUCCGGUAUGCUGCUAUUACAGAAUAUAGCCGGAUGGUGGUGGCACAUGCCUUUUGUCCCAGUACUCAGGAGUCAGAGGUUGGACCCUGGGAGUGUGUUAUAAACCUUCAUGAUUUGUUCUGGCUCCUGGCUGUGUCGGGGGCUGAGGCAGCUCUCACCCACAUCGUAGACAAACAAGAUCCUGGACAUGUACUUCAGGAUGACCACCUUGGCCCAGUGUGGCACUGGCCGGGCCUCGGCCCCACAGAAGUGGAUGUUCAUGACCAUGAUGAUAGAGUUUCAUGUUGGCCGGGGCUGAUCAAGGCUGAUCGUGAAAUUCUAAUCCUUAAACUUCCACCUUCUAAGUGCUGAGGAUUACGGACAUGAUUCACCAUGUCUGGGUUCCUGAGGUGACCCUUCAUGCUAGGCAAGCGCCCUACUGACCGAGCUGUACCCGCAUCUCCCUGCUGUCUUUUUAUUUACUUAUUUUUUGGUGCUCAGGGUUGAAUUUAGGGCUUCCUGCCUGUUAGCAAGUGCUCUUCCACUGACAUACAUCACCAGUCCCCAGAGCAUCUUGAUAUAUCGAGAAAAAGGAGGCUCUGGUUGAGGAGUCCAAAAUUUGAUACGGGAAAGCCUAUUGAUGUAAUUCACCACGUUAAUGGGUGAAAGGGAAACCUCAUGCAGUUAUCUUACAGAUGGAGACAAGAUGCUUGGCAAUUGCCUUGCCUGGGACAGCGUCGGCAGGCCUGUCACAAAGGAGCUGUGAAUGAAUUUACUAACAACGGAAGACAGAGUGGAGCUUGUUCCAUACACUGCGCGACAGCUGCAGUGAGCAAGACAGAGAGAGAAGCUACACAGAGGAGGGCCAGCGGUGGCUUCUGAGUGGUGGGGAGUUGCAGGGACACUCAUGGGGAGUUUCCCGGACAGUUAGGCAGUGUUGCAGUGCCGUGGAGUCCCAGGUUUAUUAUGAUUGGCAAUAACCUGGCCUUGAUGUAAUUCUGGUCUUGGCCUGAGUCAGAAAUGACUCGGUGUGACCUCCAUCCCAAACUCUAAACCAGUGCCUGGAGUUUGCAGUCAUGGCUUGUUACGAUGAAUUUUUCCUGAUGUUCUGCUGGGAGGCACCUGCGGCCUUGACCUCAGUCCAGUCUGAUCUGAAGCAAAGGUUCUAAGGUUAGGAUGGCUCAGCACAGCUAUCCAUCCCGGAACGUCACCCGUAAUAACGUUUAACAUUCACUUAUUAUUUAUUAAAAGCUCCUGAUUGUCUAUAAAGGGAGUAUAGGCCAGAAACAUGCAUGAAAUGCUGCUUGUCCUUCAGAACAUGUAAACAUGUUUGUGUACUGUAAGAGCGAAAGGGCUGGGUUUGUAGCUCUUGCCUAGCACGCGUAGGCCCUGGGUUCAGUCUCCAAGCACAGGGCAGGGUGGAGUUGGGGGGAGAGACUGGGAGCCUAAAGGUAGGCAUGGUGGCUCUUAGCUCUUGGGAAACUGAUGCAGGAGAAAUGAAAACCCAAGACCAAGGCCAGCCUGGUUGCAUGGUGAGAUGCUGUCUCCAAUAACAAUGAUAACCAAAGGCGCACACUUCACAGGUGCUGCAAAUAAAACGCUGUGAUUUUUAACACAGGUUCUCAAAAAUCCGUGUAUACACAUUCUAAAAGACAGAUCCCACAUAACCAUAGAAACGAUUAAUGCUCCCCAAAUUCUUGUGAGUCAUCUCUCUUUAGAAACGUACCAACUUGUGAUUGAAUGUCACUGCUAAGGAAGAGAGGGACCUGUCCACGAUUCCACUUCAGACAGAGUUAUCAUUUAUGGCUUGGAUCUCGGUUUUGUUUGAGGUAGUCCUUGAACUCUCUCCUUCUGCCCCCAAGUGCUAGGUGGCAGGUGUCUGUCUCCAUUCCUAACCAGUGUCACUCAUUUCUGUCUCCAGAGAAGUAAUAAAAGUACCAGGACACCUAUGCCUUUCUUUACUAA